UUGGGGAAUCUUAGACAAUGGGGGCAACCCUGAUCUAGCCAUGCCGCGUGAGUGAUGAAGGCCUUAGGGUCGUAAAGCUCUUUCGCCGGGGAAGAUAAUGACUGUACCCGGUAAAGAAACCCCGGCUAACUCCGUGCCAGCAGCCGCGGUAAUACGGAGGGGGUUAGCGUUGUUCGGAAUUACUGGGCGUAAAGCGCGCGUAGGCGGAUCGGAAAGUUGGGGGUGAAAUCCCGGGGCUCAACCCCGGAAUUGCCUUCAAAACUCCCGGUCUUGAGGUCGAGAGAGGUGAGUGGAAUUCCGAGUGUAGAGGUGAAAUUCGUAGAUAUUCGGAGGAACACCAGUGGCGAAGGCGGCUCACUGGCUCGAUACUGACGCUGAGGUGCGAAAGCGUGGGGAGCAAACAGGAUUAGAUACCCCAGUAGUCC
rnacentral:rRNA from 1 species